rnacentral:tRNA from 1 species
UAUCUUAUAGUUUAUAAAAAUAUUAAAUUGCAAAUUUAAAGUAAUAAAUAUUAAUUUAUUAAGAUUU